UACGUAGGGUGCAAGCGUUGUCCGGAAUUAUUGGGCGUAAAGAGCUCGUAGGCGGUUUGUCGCGUCUGCUGUGAAAACCCGAGGCUCAACCUCGGGCCUGCAGUGGGUACGGGCAGACUAGAGUGCGGUAGGGGAGAUUGGAAUUCCUGGUGUAGCGGUGGAAUGCGCAGAUAUCAGGAGGAACACCGAUGGCGAAGGCAGAUCUCUGGGCCGUAACUGACGCUGAGGAGCGAAAGCGUGGGGAGCGAACAGGAUUAGAUACCCUGGUAGUCCACGCCGUAAACGUUGGGAACUAGAUGUAGGGACCAUUCCACGGUUUCUGUGUCGCAGCUAACGCAUUAAGUUCCCCGCCUGGGGAGUACGGUCGCAAGACUAAA
rnacentral:rRNA from 1 species